rnacentral:rRNA from 1 species
CGUGUAGCCGGGUCGGCAAGUCAGAUGUGAAAUCUGGAGGCUCAACCUCCAAACUGCAUUUGAAACUGUUGAUCUUGAGUAUCGGAGAGGUAAUCGGAAUUCCUAGUGUAGCGGUGAAAUGCGUAGAUAUUAGGAAGAACACCAGUGGCGAAGGCGGAUUACUGGACGACAACUGACGGUGAGGCGCGAAAGCGUGGGGAGCAAACA